rnacentral:rRNA from 1 species
UACAUGGGGUGCAAACGUUGCUCGGAAUUACUGGGCGUAAAGGGCGCGUAGGCGGACAGUUAAGUCAGAGGUGAAAGCCCAGGGCUCAACCCUGGAAUUGCCUUUGAUACUGGCUGUCUUGAGUGCGGGAGAGGUGUGUGGAACUCCGAGUGUAGAGGUGAAAUUCGUAGAUAUUCGGAAGAACACCAGUGGCGAAGGCGACACACUGGCCCGUAACUGACGCUGAGGCGCGAAAGCGUGGGGAGCAAACAGG